UUCUAUUAAAACCCAAAGUCGUAACUAGUAAACCUGCAGAAGACCACGAUCUCCACCUGAUGAUAACUCCCCAGUUCCUUCAGUUCUUCCCACCUCCCUCAACUAUCCUCUUUCUUCGAUUAUGGAUGCUAUAAAAACAAUCGAUACCUUGAAACCGUAUACACAGAGAAGAUUAUACUUCAGAUUUGGAAGAAGGAAAUCAUCAAUUUCAUUAUCCUCUGCAGGACAUCAUCGAUUUUAUCUGCACAAGCUGGAAUAUAGAUGGCAACCCACAACCUCCGGCAGCAAAGAAAGUAAGAGGAGGGUCUAAGUUGAACUUUCGUACAAAGAUGAAAAAGGGCGAGAAAGUACCACUGGAAUUUUGGCAGGGUGCACCAGUUGGACCGAACGCAAAUAAGAUUUCGGCUUAUUGUGGAAAGCUGGCACUAAAUGGAGAAAACUUCCCUUUUGACAUUCAUGACUGGUCUGAAGUGCCCCAAAAGGAAGCUUGAAGAAGCCAUUGAAGAGAUAAAGAAAAUCCAUGUAAAAUGGAAGGCAAACAAACGUAACAUGAGGUUGGAACAUUUCGAUGAGAAUAAGACUGAUGCACAAAACAGAGCUAGUUGUCCAAACGAAGUUAUUGACACUCAGUAGGCAAAUAUGUUGAUACAUUGGUGUUCACCUGAAUUCAAGGUGAGAAUGUUUACAGAUUUAUCAUUUAUGAGUUUAUAUGUUAAACUGUGACUUCUAGCUUGUGAACGUUGAAUAACAUAGAAGAAAAAAAAGCAAGAAUGGCAAAGCAAGUAGAAAGCAUUUGUCUGUGCCUCAUCAUGGUGGUACUAAGUCAUUCGUGAACCACGCGAUAGAGAAGAGACAACGCAAAAGAAAGCAAGUCUAGCGGUUGUGUAUCGGAAAACCUAUAGAGCCAGAGAAGGGAAAACUUCCAACCCUAAAGCUGAAGCAAAUCACGCUCAAAUAGAAGCCUUAGAGAGGGAAGAUUUAGAAGAGAAUGGUUCAGAUAAUGAUGUUUCAAUCUUGGAACUCACUUCUUAUGGCCAGCUGAAAGGAGACAAGUAUUCAAAAUCAUGGGAGCUGAGAAACCUGGUCGGAUUCGUGGUGUUGGUUCGCAAUUAAAGUAACCAAGCUUAGGGUGAAUCUUCUUCAAAUGUUGUCCAAAACAACGAGGAAAAUGCUGCAUUAAAUUAAGACACUGAAGGAGGAUCAGGUUCAUACGCAGAAUGAAUCUGAGGUUAAUUUCAUCGAAAGAUAUUAUGUUCAAGGUGUUGUAAGAUAUAUCAUAAUUAACUUUGGAAGUAAGAAAUCCAUCUGUGAUAAUUUAAGUAUUUUGUGUUCAUUCACCUAAAUUUCUCUUGAAACUUUUAUCAGACUCAAAAUGGUUUAGUAUUAAGUUUUUAUUUGUUUUCUUGUAUCAGACUCAAAAUGGUCAAGUAUUAAGUUUUUAUUUGCUUUGGAAUGUAAUCAAUCAGACAAACAUGUAGUACUUGUGUUU